GAUGAACGCUGGCGGCGUGCCUAAUACAUGCAAGUCGAGCGAACAGAUGCGGAGCUUGCUGGCCUGAGGGUGGCGGCGGACGGGUGAGUAACACGUGGACAAGCGACCUACAAGAGUAGAAGAAAGCUGGGAAACCGGAGGUGAAACCGGAGAAUAUGCUGAAUCGCAAGGGUCAACCGGGAAAGGCGGACGUUCUGUUACUUAUAGAUGGGUCCGCGGCGCAUUAGCUAGUUGGCAAGGUAACGGCUUACCAAGGCAACGAUGCGUAGCCGACCUGAGAGGGUGAUCGGCCACACUGGAACUGAGACACGGUCCAGACUCCUACGGGAGGCAGCAGUAGGGAAUCUUCCGCAAUGGGCGAAAGCCUGACGGAGCAACGCCGCGUGAGUGAAGAAGGUCUUCGGAUCGUAAAACUCUGUUAUUAGGGAAGAACAAAUGUGUAAGUAACUAUGCACGUCUUGACGGUACCUAAUCAGAAAGCCACGGCUAACUACGUG
rnacentral:rRNA from 1 species